rnacentral:lncRNA from 1 species
AAAAAGAAAGCAAUUCAAUGGCCACAAAUACUCUAGAUAUCUAACGCAUGAACUUCUCCACGUUUCUUCGUCAAGGAUCUUUUCGAGCAUGGCUUCCUGUGUAGAAGAUUUUGAUCUUCUGAGAAUGCUUCAAAUAUUGUAAUCUCGCCAUUCGACUCCCCGUUCAAGUCGUCUUGCUCUUUAAGUCUGAAUUUGCUUCAUUAGGAC